GGGCAUCUGGAAGGGCAGUAGCAAAGCCAGGGCUCAGAGAGAGAACAGUGAAGGAGACAGCAGUUCAUCUAACUCUACACUCAACUCCACUGGACAGGACCCCUCCCUAGAAGACCCUCUCUCCUCCCCCCUCCCCUCCUCCAAUCCUCUCAGGUCUCACAACUCUA